ACUCUGGAAGUUUCUUCUCGGACACAGAAGGGAGUACCAGACCUAAACCAGCCGUGCGGUAGCCUGCAGGUCUCGCAAGGCGUGGGCACACCAUCUUCACACUCACUGUGAUUUUAACCCCCAUGGAAAGCCAGCAAGUCGUAAGUUUAAAAAGACUGCGUCUAUCGGGUUAAAAAAGUAUUUUCCUAAUUUAACUUUUAGUUGCUGUCAAAUUGUCAGAAUUAAGAAUCAGGAGUUGUAGGUUGUAUGAGAGCUUUUGCCGAAAGCUACCUUUGUAACCACCUGGGCAAGUCGGUGAUCAUUUAGUUUCCCCCUGUUUCUGCCCUGUCUCCCUACUGGGCGAAGGUGAGGAGGAGGAGGCCAUUUCCCUGUCUUGAAAAGCGCUAUUUUAACAUGUGCACCGUUUUCACCUCUGCUUUCAGAUAUUUCACUACACUCUCCUGGGGUGUAUGCACAAGCCUUUGCUGGGUCUAAUCGGAUUUAGAAAGAACAAGUUAAGGUGGUGUUUUCCAACUGCGGUGCAUGUAAUUUUCUAUUCCUAAUGAGAACAGGACAGUGUUUUCAUGCCUCCAGAAGCUCAGGUGAACAUUUCAAUCCAGAGCUCUAUACAACAUUAGGAUUCAAGUUUGGAAAGCACUUUUAGUAGAUGUUAGACUAAGUUGUACAACUUGUUGCGUGUAUGCAUGUGAAAUUUUUAAAAAUUGUUUUGAACCAAUUAGGCUAUGUUCUUAUCGAGGUAGCAUCCUAUUCGAAUUGCUUUUUUCCGAGAAAAAGAAUGUGCCAACCAACCGCAGUAACGGAGGGGGUGUCACACAAGACUCGCCGUGUCCAGCUGAGCACAGGCUUGCCCUUCCCUGACUCCUAUGAAUGCCUGGCUCUGUUCUUGGUGGUAAGUGAUUGUCACCAGAGACCAGAAGGAGCUGGUGGGGUGGCCUGUGUGAACUAUGAACGCCUUAAAAUACCCUCCCUCUUUUACAGAGGAAUGUUUCUCUCAUUUCUCUUGUGUUUCUGUUAAUAACUUGUAAUAACUUUCUGACUUGGCUAUUUAAAUUUCCAUCCUAAACAGCACCUUGAUCUCACUGGAUGCAAAUUCUUGUUGCUCUGCAGUCACCCAGACCCCAGGAACCUUGACGGAAAGACCUGCAUGUGGCAGUGGUCUUCGAGUCACCAUACUAUGGUUACAGGUCAGACUACUUGAGUGAUGUCCUUAAGUCUCCAGAGGUAGCAGAGUGGUCAGUGAGCCAGCUGCCACUGCUAUGGCCCACAACUUAGAGAAGAAAUUCGGUUCCAGAAGGCUUUGACCUUGAGUUGAAUCUUUCCGGGUAUGAGACCUUUGUAAAAGUCCCAGAAGAAACCAGGAGAGACCUUCCUAUAUGUGACUCAAAAACCAGAAGCUAUACAGAAGAAAACAUGGAUACCUUCAACUACAGAAAAAAUACCUACAUGACAAAAGACCUUAAUCAAAGUCAAAAGAAAAUAAUAGAAAAAAAAAUUGUAACUCCUGUGACAGGCAAGGAGAAUUUCCUUCAUAUAUAAAGAGCUCCUGGGACUCAAUAAGAGUAAGAAUGAAAACCCAAAAGUAAAAUUGACCAAGAAUAUGGGACAGAAACUGCCAAUUGCCUCCCAAUACCCAGUGCCCUCUUCUCCCUUAUUAACUGAUUCCCGGGCAACACCCUCAGUUAAAAAGCCCCAUUUUCCAGUUUCCUUCCGACACAGCCAUGUUACGGAGUUGUUGCUGAGACAGAAGCUAAGUGUCAAAGGGGGCUUCUGUGAGGCUUCUUAAAAGGGAGGAGGCACACACCCUGUGGCCAUUUUCUUUUUCCUUCUUGUAGCCUGCAGUGUAAACACGUUAGCUGGUACUCCAGCAGCUAUCUUGAGCCUAGGUGCCCUUUAAGACGGAAGCCACAUUUUAAUAUGACGGGGGGAAAGAAACGAGGAGCUUGAGACCCUGAUAACCUUGCAGGCUUCAUGCCUCCUGAACUACUCGUCUCCAGACAUGAUCUGUGUGAGAAUAAACCCCUUGACUGUAGUCUGGUCUCUCACCCACACCAACCUGAUGCCAGUAUUAACUGGCAGUUCCUCAAACAAGAAAUGCCAAUAUAUUAAAAGGUGUUCUACCACAUUUCUAAUGUAGAUGCACUUAAUAACUAUGAAAUAUUUUUCACCUAUAAAGUUGGAAACUUUAAAAAAAAUUAGAAAGGGAAUCCGCCUUCCAAUGCAGGGGACAUGGGUUCGAUUCCUGGUCGGGGAACUAAGAUCCCACAUGCCGCAGGGCAACUAAGCCCGCGUGUCUCAAUGAGAGAGCCCGCAUGCCGCAAACUACAGAGCCCACACGCCCCGCAGCCUGUGCGCCACUAGAGAAGAGAAAACCUGCCCACCGCAACUAGAGAGAAGCCCACUCGCUGCAACGAAAGAUCCCGUGUGCCUCAACGAAGAUCCUGUGUGCCACAACUAAGACCCAACGCAGCCAAAAAAGAAAAUAAAUAAAUAAAAUAAUAAUAAAUUAAAAAAAUUAGAAAUUAGGAGCACUUAUUUUGCUGAUGAGAAUGUGAUUUGAUAAAAUAUCUAGGGAGAGCAUUCUAGAAAAUAUCAAAAUUGCAAAUGCAUUCACCCAUUCUAAGAAUGUGUCUUCCAGAGGCACUUAUUCAUCAAGUGUAAAAUGCCAGUACCUUAUCCAUUGCAGUGCUGUUUAUCACAGCAAAAUACCGGCAACACCCUAAGUGUCCAUCGGUGGGGCUCUGGUGACAUCUGUGCAGCAGAAGCUACGCAACCAUGAAAAGCAUCCCUGCUGGGAAGUCCGUGAUGUGCGGAUACGGAGCAUCUCUGAGCUGCACAGGUACAGGACAGAGAUGAGGUAGAGUGUGCUACCGCUUAGGGAGACGUCAGGAGGGGGAAGGAUGCACACAGCACGGCUCUUGGCUCGUGUUUGACGCAGUGUCUCUGGCAGGAGAGCAGGGAACUGCCGUGCUGCUGGCCUCCAUCGUUUAAAAUGGGUCUGUGCCAGCUUCCUUCCUCUGUCUGAAGUCUCCCCUCGGACGGACAGAGGACCUGAGGCCCCGACCUGUGGGGGGUCACAGAUUUGGAAGGGAGGAGCGGACAUCCACAAUGUUUUAGGGAGAUGGGAGCUUGGAAAUUAAGUGAGAGAGCAAGGGGUACCCACUUUGGAGAGAAUGAUCACUGCUGAGUUCAGGAGCAGGUGGAAAAAUGAACGUCGUUUAGGAAGAGAAGGGCCAUCCCAUGUUUCCACCACUGCUGAGUGUUCAGAGCACAUUGUCUUCAAGAACCCAGGGUAGGGGCUUCCCUGGUGGCGCAGUGGUUAAGAGUCCGCCUGCCAAUGCAGGGGACACGGGUUUGAGCCCUGGUCCGGGAAGACCCCACACGCCACAGAGCAACUAAGUCCGUGCGCCACAACUACUGAGCCUGCGCUCUAGAGCCCGCCAGCCACAGCUACUGAGCCCACGUGCCACAACUACUGAAGCCCGCACACCUAGAGCCUGUGCUCCGCAACAAGAGAAGCCACUGCAAUGAGAAGCCCGUGCACCGCAACGAGGAGUAGGCCCCGCUCGCCGCAACUAGAGAAAGCCUGCGCGCAGCAACAAAGACCCAACACAGCCAAAAAUAAAAACAAACAUAUAAAUAAAUAAAUUUAUUUAAAAAAAAAAAAAGAGCCCAGGGUAACCCUGACGCUGAUUUUCCAUGAAGGAUCGACUUUUACUUUGAGAACUUGAGAACCAGCUGGCCUGUUUCAUGGUACAAUGGAUCCCAUGAAAAAGUCCCUACAAAAUAGAAGGUACGCAUACCUAGAUCAGUACUAAGGUUCUGCUGGUCCCUCUGUAUGAAUCCUGAUUGCAGAACCCCUAAGAAACUCCCGCCAUGGUGCGAAGCCACGGAAAGAUCAACCAAAGAAGAGUCUCACGGUGCAGCCUCCAGACUGGGGUCUGGUCGAGGGCAUAUGUGAACCGAGCAGGGCUUCUGCUGGUGCUGUCACUGUGUGCGUCCUGGUGUGGAAACCGCCGGCCGGGUCGUUGGGAAGCCCGCCCCCAUCACCCAGGAAACGGAGCAGGUGUGCAACAGGAGCUCAUCGUCCAGGUGAACCAGAGGUGGUUCUCUGCUGGGCAGAUUCCACCUCCCAGACCCCACACGCUCCUGUAGCUUCCUGUAGAAUCAAGGGGCCUUCGCGCCACACCCUCUCAGCAGAGCCACUGGGGAUAGAGGAUAAGGAGCGGUAAAAAACCCAGGCCCUCCUCACGGAGCAGAAAGUGAGCAGGUGGAGUGUCUGAAAAACCGUCUUUGGAAGGAAAUCAGUCUGCCACAGCCAGCUGGCCUUGAAUUCACAAGACUUAGUUGAUGAAAGAGGCUAAAGGCAGCUGUACAGUUAUCUUCGGAUUGCUGGACAGAGGGAGGAGAAGGACCGAGAAUUGUUUGUGUUUCUCCCUCGAAGAAAGGAAACAUUCUGGGAGCCAGAUAACCACGCAGCUCCUCAGAGAUGGCAAGUCCAGACCAUGGAUUCCUGUGUCCCAAAAUGCAAAGAUGGACCUGGGGGAGGUGUCACCUGACGUGGCUGAAGAUCGUCCUGGGCUGGUACAGACCCCCCCUGUCCUCUGUCCUGUGCUGACGAGUCUCACCCACAACCCAGGCACAGAAAUAGAAGGGCAGUCAGAGAUCACAGGUACCUGUCCCUGCAGUGCGGGCGGCGGGGAGGGGAGGCUGGGCAGGGCAGUCCCGCCCGAACCCAAGCCCCCGGGCUGGCUCUGCUCCUCCGCUGGUGGGCAAGGCCAGGAUCUG